rnacentral:rRNA from 1 species
GAUGAACGCUGGCGGCGUGCCUAAUACAUGCAAGUCGAGCGAACAGACGAGGAGCUUGCUCCUCUGACGUUAGCGGCGGACGGGUGAGUAACACGUGGAUAACCUACCUAUAAGACUGGGAUAACUUCGGGAAACCGGAGCUAAUACCGGAUAAUAUAUUGAACCUCAUGGUUCAAUAGUGAAAGACGGUUUUGCUGUCACUUAUAGAUGGAUCCGCGCCGCAUUAGCUAGUUGUUAAGGUAACGGCUUACCAAGGCAACGAUGCGUAGCCGACCUGAGAGAGUCAUCGGCCACACUGGACCUGAGACACGGUCCAGACUCCUACGGGAGGCAGCAGUAGGGAAUCUUCCGCAAUGGGCGAAAGCCUGACGGUGCAACGCCGCGUGAGAGAUGAAGGUCUUCGGAUCGUAAAACUCUGUAAUUAGGGAAGAACAAAAGUGUAAGGACAGAUGCACGUCUUGACGGUACCUAAUCAGAAAGCAACGGCUGACUACGUG